rnacentral:lncRNA from 1 species
CGACGCACGGUGGUCCUUUUUCAUAAUCUAUGGUUGCAAAAGGUAUAAAAUUCGUCUUCAAAUAAUCGGUUGUAAUGACACUCAUUGAAUACCUAGAUAAUCAGGUAAACAAAAUAAAUCAUUCUUAGAACUCAACUCCCACCUCGAAG